AAUGAACGCUGGCGGCAGGCCUAACACAUGCAAGUCGAACGGGUCCUUCGGGACUAGUGGCGGACGGGUGAGUAACGCGUGGGAACAUACCCAAAGGUACGGAAUAGCCUCGGGAAACUGAGAGUAAUACCGUAUGUGCCCUUCGGGGGAAAGAUUUAUCGCCUUUGGAUUGGCCCGCGUUGGAUUAGGUAGUUGGUGGGGUAAUGGCCUACCAAGCCGACGAUCCAUAGCUGGUUUGAGAGGAUGAUCAGCCACACUGGGACUGAGACACGGCCCAGACUCCUACGGGAGGCAGCAGUGGGGAAUCUUAGACAAUGGGGGAAACCCUGAUCUAGCCAUGCCGCGUGAUCGAUGAAGGCCUUAGGGUUGUAAAGAUCUUUCAGAUGGGAAGAUAAUGACGGUACCAUCAGAAGAAGCCCCGGUAACUCCGUGCCAGCAGCCGCGGUAAAAAGUCUCUAU
rnacentral:rRNA from 1 species